rnacentral:rRNA from 1 species
CGCGGCCUAUCAGCUUGUUGGUGAGGUAACGGCUCACCAAGGCAUCGACGGGUAGCUGGUCUGAGAGGACGAUCAGCCACACUGGGACUGAGACACGGCCCAGACUCCUACGGGAGGCAGCAGUGGGGAAUCUUGCGCAAUGGGGGAAACCCUGACGCAGCGACGCCGCGUGCGGGAUGAAGGCCCUAGGGUUGUAAACCGCUUUCAGCAGGGACGAAAUUGACGGUACCUGCAGAAGAAGGCCCGGCUAACUACGUGCCAGCAGCCGCGGUAAUACGUAGGGGCCAAGCGUUGUCCGGAAUUAUUGGGCGUAAAGAGCUCGUAGGCGGUUUGGUAAGUCGGAUGUGAAAUCUCCACGCUCAACGUGGAGCGGCCAUUCGAUACUGCCAUGACUUGAGUCCGGUAGGGGAGUGUGGAAUUCCCGGUGUAGCGGUGAAAUGCGCAGAGAUCGGGAGGAACACCCGUAGCGAAGGCGGCACUCUGGGCCGGUACUGACGCUGAGGAGCGAAAGCGUGGGGAGCGAACAGGAUUAGAUACCCUGGUAGUCCACGCCGUAAACGUUGGGCACUAGGUGUGGGACUCUAUCGACGGGUUCCGUGCCGUAGCUAACGCAUUAAGUGCCCCGCCUGGGGAGUACGG